rnacentral:lncRNA from 1 species
CACAGAUCAGUGUCAGAGGUGCGAUGAAAACCCAGGAGUUCUGAUUCCUGGGUCACCAUGCUCCCUUUGCCAAGGGUGGAGCCGACACCAACAGACUCUUAGCUCCUGUGCCCUGUGCAUCCUGGUGUUCGUGCACGUGCUGCACGGGGUCUGGAAAGAUGCAUAAAUUUCCACUAGAAGAGGAGAAAGGCAUAAGACAGACCUCAGCUGUCGUCCAGGAAAGGAAGGGCCGCCAGUCUGGAGUGACAACUAGGAUUAAAGCCGCAGCGUCUCUCAGUUGA